CAUUGAUUGGCGGCAAAACAGCUGACAGCUGUAGAGUAUAUCUGACGUCGCAGGUUGCCCGAGAGGGUUUCGUUGCUUCCUACCGUGCACAAGUGAUAUCUUGGAAAAAACUCAAAUCGCCAAGAUACUGCUACUAACAGAUCAUGACUGUGUGGGGGAAUUUGGGGGCAGAUCCCUACAAGACAUCCAAAAAGAAGCAGAAACAUUGGAUGACGAGUAUGAGAAAAAAACCUCAAAAAAGCAAAUGAAGGCUGUGGCCAUAAGUUGUGAAAAGUGGACCACAGAAGAAGAGGAAAUAAAAAAGCAAUUAGACUAUAAAACAAGGCCAUCAGCACGACAAUGUGGAAAAGCUUUAGCCCAAAGAGAGGCCAAUGGCAGGGUACUUUGCAAGAGAAAGAUAUGUUGAAAAAUAAACUUUUCAGUAUUGUGGACAAAUUGAAAUCUGCAACAAAUUGAUGUGUUUUCAAAAAACGCUUAUGCCAUGGUGCAACCAGUAUCUGUCGUCCAGAAAGUACUGAAGGGAUCUUUCUCAAAUUUCAUAUGUAGGUUUCCUUUGAUCCCUAGUUAUGCAUAUUUCAUAUUGGAACCAGUCAGGAAACAACAGAACUCUUUGAAUUGUGAAUAAGCUAACUGGGCCAGAAACCUAUCGUCAUUUGAUUUUAUUAGCCCAACAUCAUGGUGGGCUAUUCAAAUCGCCUUUCGUCCGUCGUCCGUCCUUCCGUCCGUCCUUCUGUCCGUCCGUUAACAAUGCUUGUUACCGCUAUUUCUCAGAAAGUACAGUAGGAAUCGGUCUCAAAUUUCAUAUGCAGACUCCCCUUGGGCCCUAGUGAUGCAUAUUGCAUUUUGGGACUGAUCCAUCAACAAGAUAGCCGAAAGGCAGCCAUCUUGUGUUUUGAUACUUGAAGAUUGUUACCGCUAUUUCUCAGAAAGUGCUGAAGGGAUAUGUCUCACAUUUUACUUAAAGACUCCCCUUUGGCCUAAGUUAUGCAUAUUGCAUUUGUGGACUGAUCCGUCAACAAGAUGGCCGACAGGCAGCCAUCUUGGAUUUCGAUAGUUGAAGUUUGU